rnacentral:rRNA from 3 species
CCCAGACAGCCAGGAUGUUGGCUUAGAAGCAGCCAUCAUUUAAAGAAAGCGUAAUAGCUCACUGGUCGAGUCGGCCUGCGCGGAAGAUGUAACGGGGCUAAACCAUGCACCGAAGCUGCGGCAGCGAACGUAUCACCCAAGACAACUUUGCGGAGUUGACGAUUGACGGAGCGAAGCGACGUCAAAGCGUUCAUUAAAGUCGAGUUGGCUUAGGGAUACGUUCGUUGGGUAGGGGAGCGUUCUGUAAGCCUGUGAAGGUGGCCUGUGAGGGUUGCUGGAGGUAUCAGAAGUGCGAAUGCUGACAUAAGUAACGAUAAAGCGGGUGAAAAGCCCGCUCGCCGGAAGACCAA